rnacentral:misc_RNA from 1 species
GAUGAAGAACGUAGCGAAAUGCGAUAAGUAGUGUGAAUUGCAGAAUUCAGUGAAUCAUCGAAUCUUUGAACGCACAUUGCGCCCUUUGGUAUUCCUUAGGGCAUGCCUGUUCGAGCGUCAUUUAAACCUUCAAGCUCAGCUUGGUGAUGGGUGACUGUCCUCCCCUCGCGGGGGGACUCGCCUCAAAAACAUUGGCGGCCGGUACAUUGGCUUCGAGCGCAGCAGAAACGCGGUCUCGAGCCCGGUGGAUCGGCUCACAUAAGUCUAUUCUUUUAUUUUGACCUCGGAUCAGGUAGGGAUACCCGCUGAACUUAAGCAUAUCAAUAAGCGGAGGA